rnacentral:tRNA from 1 species
UAUGCUUUAGUAUAUGAUGUACAAAGGUUUUUGAUACUUUAAGAGAUAGUUUAAUUCUAUUUAGCAUAA